UACGUAGGGUGCGAGCGUUGUCCGGAAUUACUGGGCGUAAAGGGCUCGUAGGCGGCCAACUAAGUCAGACGUGAAAUCCCCAGGCUCAACCUGGGAACUGCGUCUGAUACUGGAUGGCUUGAAUUCGGGAGAGGGAUGCGGAAUUCCAGGUGUAGCGGUGAAAUGCGUAGAUAUCUGGAGGAACACCGGUGGCGAAGGCGGCAUCCUGGACCGGCAUUGACGCUGAGGCGCGAAAGCCAGGGGAGCAAACGGG
rnacentral:rRNA from 1 species